rnacentral:rRNA from 1 species
GACGAACGCUGGCGGCGUGCCUAAUACAUGCAAGUAGAACGCUGAAGAGAGGAGCUUGCUCUUCUUGGAAGAGUUGCGAACGGGUGAGUAACGCGUAGGUAACCUGCCUUGUAGCGGGGGAUAACUAUUGGAAACGAUAGCUAAUACCGCAUAACAAUGGAUGACCCAUGUCAUUUAUUUGAAAGGGGCAACUGCUCCACUACAAGAUGUACCUGCGUUGUAUUAGCUAGUAGGUGAGGUAACGGCUCACCUAGGCGACGAUACAUAGCCGACCGGAGAGGGUGAUCGGCCACACUUGGCAUGAGACACGGCCCAGACUCCUACGGGAGGCAGCAGUAGGGAAUCUUCGGCAAUGGGGGCAACCCUGACCGAGCAACGCCGCGUGAGUGAAGAAGGUUUUCGGAUCGUAAAGCUCUGUUGUAAGUCAAGAACGAGUGUGAGAGUGGAAAGUUCACACUGUGACGGUAGCUUACCAGAAAGGGACGGCUAACUACGUGCCAGCAGCCGCCGUAA